rnacentral:rRNA from 1 species
UGAGGAAUAUUGGUCAAUGGGCGCAAGCCUGAACCAGCCAAGUCGCGUGAGGGAAGACGGUCCUAUGGAUUGUAAAACCNCUUUUGCGGGGANCAAAGCGCGGUACGAGUACCGUGAAGGAGAGUACCCGAAGAAAAAGCAUCGGCUAACUCCGUGCC